GCCCUGGUGGCACAAUGGUUAAGCUACUCAGCUGUUAACUGAAAAGCUGGUGGUUAGAAUCCACCUAGCGGCU
rnacentral:tRNA from 1 species